AUCAUGUGGUUCAAUUCGACAACAAACGAGAAACCUUACCAAGGCUUGACAUGCAUUGUGUCAACGAUGAAAGUCGUUUAGCUGUAGCAAUACAGCGCUUUGCACAGGUGCUGCAUGGUUGUCGUCAGCUCGUGUCGUGAGAUGUACCCUUAAGUGGGAAAACGAGCGCAACCCUUAUUUUUAGUUGCAACCCUUUAAUGGGGCACUCUAAAAAGACUGCCGGUGAUAAAUCGGAGGAAGGUGGGGACGACGUCAAAUCAGCAUGGCCCUUACGCCUUGGGCUACACACAUGAUACAAUGGCCGGUACAAAGGGACGCUAAACCGAGAGGUGGAGCAAAUCCCAUCAAAACCGGUCUCAGUUCGGAUUGAGGUCUGCAACUCGACCUCAUGAAGCUGGAAUCGCUAGUAACCGUGUAUCAGCUAUGGCACGGUGAAUACGUUCUCGGGCUUUGUACUCACCGCCCGUCACGCCAAGCGAGCUGGGGGCACCCGAAAGUCCGCGUUCGCGGAAAUAAGGUGAAUCUAGUGAGAGGGGCGAAGUCGUAACAAGGUAACCGUA
rnacentral:rRNA from 1 species